UACGUAGGGUGCGAGCGUUAAUCGGAAUUACUGGGCGUAAAGCGUGCGCAGGCGGUGAUGUAAGACCGAUGUGAAAUCCCCGGGCUUAACCUGGGAACUGCAUUGGUGACUGCAUCGCUCGAGUAUGGCAGAGGGGGGUAGAAUUCCACGUGUAGCAGUGAAAUGCGUAGAGAUGUAGAGGAAUACCGAUGGCGAAGGCAGCCCCCUGGGUCAAUACUGACGCUCAUGCACGAAAGCGUGGGGAGCAAACAGG
rnacentral:rRNA from 1 species